CUGGGGAGCAAUCGUGGCUAUCGGUGAGGCUGUUGUUGGGGACCUCCUGAACGCCUGAAACUGAAGAGUAGAGUAGAUAACUGGUCAGCCGCUGUAUUGUAAAUGCCUGGUACGUGGAAACAUACCAGAUAAAAUUUUGACAGGCUUCCCCUACGUUAGUUGUCUGAUGAAUUCAUAAUAAGGGAUAAAAGACCGGACUUGUUUAUGACGUGGCCCAUUGCCAACUUGUCAGAGACCUCAAACCAGUCUGCUUGCCCAUGAAUGACCCCAUGUUGCUGCUGUGGCUAUGAUGGGAUAUA